CCUGUAGAUCAGACUUGGGCCCUCCAGGUGUUUUGGACUCCAACUCCCAGCAUGCCUAGCAGCCUCAGGCCCUUUCCUCAGCGGCUGAGGGGGAAAAGGAAGGGGCCUGAGGCUGCUAGGCAUGCUGGGAGUUGGAGUCCAAAACACCUGGAGGGCCCACGUUGGCUCAAGCCUGCAGUCAAGAUGCAGGGAUUUUAUUCAGCCCCAGAGAGAAACUUGUUGAUAUUUGUAUUCAUUUCUAUUGUUGUUGUCUGACUGUUUUUAGCUUUUAUUGUUUUUAUAUGGAAUGUCUGUUUUGAGUUGAUGUUUUUAUGUUUUAUGUAUGUUUUUAAGAGGAUGUGAGCCGCUUUGAGUCCACUCUGGAUAAAGGAAGGUGGCAUGGAAAUCUCUGAAAUAAAUAAAUGAUAAGUCGAUCCAUCUAUCUGUGACACACAUAUAUAUUAUACAUAUACACACAUCUAUAUCUGUAUUCAUAGGUGCUUUGUUGGAUCUAUGAAUUGUAAUUAAUUUAUUCAAAGACCAUGAAAAUGUGUUGUUAAAGUCACUCGGUUGCUGUGAGUUUUCUGGGCUGUCUAGGCAUUUUCCAGAAGCAUUCUCUCCUGAUGUUUCACCUGCAUCUAUGGCAUGCAUUCUCAGAGGUUGUGAGGUUUGUUGGAACCUAGGCAAAUGGGUUUUUUUUAUCUGUGGAAUGAUGUCCAGGAUGGAAGAAAGAACUCUUGUCUGUUUGAGGCAAGUGUGAAUGUUGCAACUGAUUGCCUUGAUUAGCAUUGAAUAGCCUUGCAGCUUCAAAGCUUGGCUUCUUCCCGCCUAGGGUAAUCCUUUGUUGGGAGGUGAUUCGCUGGCCCUGAUUGUUUUUUUCCUGGAAUUCUCUGGUUUUUGAGUGUUGUUCUUUAUUUACUGUCCUGAUUUUAGAGUUUUUUAGUACUGUAUAUAUGUGUUUGUUUGUAUAUGUGUGUGUAUAUAUAUCAAGUAAUUUUAUUCAAAAACUAUGAAAAUGUUUACACAAAUGCCAAGAUUUUUUUAAAGUCUCACCUACAUUCUAACCUCUACUAUACUGAUACAACAGCUAAACAAUUACUACAAGUAACAAAACUCUCUCUAUCUCUGUAUAUACACACUGCACCAAACCUUAUACUUAAGUCAUUUGCCACAAUACAAUAUGCACUUAAACCCCUUAAGGAUGGGAUUGAAUCCAAUUAGGAUGGCUGAACUAGUGAGUUAAAAAACGCCGGAUCUCCUAGGAACCUUCCUUUUCCUGCCCACUCUGCCUCCCCCGCCCUCCAAUUUCUCUACUUCCACUCGAUGUCCUCCAUUUGCUUAUAGCCAUCUCUUCCUUCCACACCUUGAGCGCUUUCCUUUCGUUCCUUGCAGCCCUCCCUCCCCCCCAAUCAACACUGUAAUCUUUUCUAAAGAAGUGCUUCAACCUGAGGGGGAAAUUGUUUCUCUUUCCCUAAACCCGUCAUCUCUGUUUGUUCUCUUCACAUACCUGGUUUGAUGAUAGAUAAAUGGGCCCAGGCAGAUCAAGUGUAGUGGCAGAAUAUCUUGAGAAUUAUAUCUUGGCUUCAUUUCCCGUAUUAGGCUGCUUAGGCAUAUUUUUCAUGAAAGUUUCCUCCGUUUUUUAAAUAUUUUGACAUCCUCAGUUCUGGCCAGAAGUGUUGAAAAACAGUCCUGUGCAAUCAGGUGUGUCACAUUGAAUCCCUUCUUGCCCCUCCUUUACAUAACUGUAGUUUUCCACUUUCAUUGAAGCUUGAUGGUUUCAAAUUCUGUUGAUCUGCAGACUUGAGCUGUUCCUUACUUGCUUCCAAAUCUUGCAGUGUUUGUUUUCAAACCACUCACGGUUUUGGGGAUUUUCAUUUUGUUUUUUGGUUGCUUCUGGUUAAAGUGCCCUUAUUGAAAGAUAACAAGCUUAAUAAAACUGUGCUGAAAAAUGUACUCUUGGUUCUGAAUUGCUGUUCCCAGAGCUUUCUAUUCAAACUGUUAUCCGUAGGAAGCUCAUGCUUUUAGCAGUGCUGUUUUAUAACAGGAUUUUGCCUGUACUCGAGAAUACAGCUCAAGCAUCUCACGUAUGUAAAGCUGUUUUCUACUCCUAUGGGAAAGGCUUGCCAGUGUGUCCUUAAAAUGGAUGGAUGUCUGCCAUCCAAAGCUUUUAGGUUAAAAACUGUUUUAAAUUGAAGUUCACAAAGUGAUGGUGCAGUGACAGGCUUGGAAUUUGGAUUGCUACCUGGUGAUUGUAUUGAACAUCGAAGUCUUUGUCUUACUGUGUGUAUAGGUGAAUGCAAAUGUAUGAGUUCUGACCUCUGCAUUCUUGGCACAGUAAAAAGAAUGGUGAGUGUCAGGUUGGCUUAGGUUCUAGAUGCUUGGAUUAGAGGACAGAUUUUUAAGGGAAAAUGAUCGAUUUCAUCAGUUAAUGUUGACAGCUUAAUAGAUCUCGAUUAAAUAUUCCAAUGCCGACUGUGUCACAUUUUACAGCUUUAUCAAAGUAUAGUAGGUGUAUAUGAAAUAUUUAUUUUGUAAAACGAGGCAGAUUUCUGGCUUCCCAUUGGUGCUGUUUUCAUUAAAUCUGAAGGUAUGACAAACCCUUGCAGUAUAGAAUGAUGUUAUCAAAUGUAGGAUGGCUUUUAGCACUAGGUUUUUAAAAGCUCCUGCCUCCCGAAAGAGGAAUGCAGCAGACUGGUAGUCAUCUAAAUUUGCCUUGAACAAAUUGAGGCACAUACCCCUGUCAUUAGCACAAUCCUUACAGUAUGUGAAAACAUGUUUCAGUCAUGCUGUCCUCGUGCCCCGCAGGGCUAAUUCUUCAUAUAACACAGCUAUUCUUAUAAGGAGAUUGUGCUCCCUCUUUGCAGGAGCUGCCUCACUCAUUAUGUCUGUAUUCUUUGGCUGCCUUGAGUAAAAAUAAUACGUUUUGUCUUCAUUCUGUUGUACCUAUCAUUCUCAUCAGCUAUUUUGCAAAUACCAUUUGUAUAAGUAUUUGGAUUAAUCAACAACUGUAAUGUGAUGGCAGUUCGGCAAGAAUUAGUCACUUGAAUAACCUGUUGUUUUGCCAGGUUGAUAACACGGUUCAGUGAGGUUCGGAUGCAGGAUUCCCACUAAACCCUCUAUCGGAUUACUUGGCAUGGCUGUACUGGUGGAGAACCAUGGUAUUGCUUUAUGAUGAUGGGUUAAUCCUUUGCACCUGUUAUUUUUUUCCAACUUGAUACCACUUCCUCUCUCAUAUUUGAGACAUGUUCAGCUGUUUAUCUGUAUCCUUUCUGGAUGCUUAUGUAUUAGUAGCAUGCGUGUGCCUCCCCCCCUGCCCCCCAAGUGCAGAUAUGGUUUGUGCAAAUAUCUAGUUUUAUUUGCAUGUUAGUAGCUGAAGCAGAGGUGUACAACUGGUAUGAUGCUAGGUUUACAGCUUUGUAUGGUGGUUUGGGAACCGACCGUGCUGCUUAAGCUCUUGACUUCCAUGUAUCUGUUUUAAUCAGACAAAGGGAGUCUGAACACUUGUUGGGGAAGAAUAAUGAUCGCUAAUUUGUUGGCAUGCCUAUUACUUGGCUUAGGUAAAAGCUAAGAUUUUUCUUUAUAGUAUUUGCCAGAUUUUAAUUCUGUCACUGGGAAGACAGCAACACAACAUGUAAAAUGUCAAUUGUCUGCUAGGUUGAUAUUGUUUCACUUGAUUAUCCUAGCUAACCGCUCCCUGUCCCCAAGACACCUAUUAAUCUGUUUAAAAUCUAUGACAUGUCUGUUUCCCAUUUGUCCUCGUGUUUGUAAGUGUAUGUAUGUAAAGCUUAACAUUGAGCGAGGCAUUCAUCGGCUACAAAAUGGAACAGCAAAAGUAAAUUAGUCACUACUAUGUCCUUACUAUUUCAAGACAGGGGUUGAUACCUUGUUUUUAAAGUAACCACUUUUGCCCUCACCUUUCAGAUACAAAGGGCACUAAGGCAGUUUAGAGUGAUUAAAAUAAUAUACAAGUAGUAAUAGAAGACUAUGGGCGAACCAAAACAUUUGUAACAGUGAGUAAAUACUCAUAAAUUAUACAGACAAAAUAAUUAGAUCUUUAUAAUUUGCCAUUAUUCUCAAUCUUGGUUCUGAUGUUGAGAAGGCAAAGGAAUGUAAAGCAACGUCUGUAGUGAUGGAAGAGAAUGAUGUAUAGGGCAUGAAAGAGAGCAGUUCUUUAACUUGCUUCCCAAGCUAAUAACUACUAGUGGUUUGAUGUGAAAUGUUACUAUCAAUGAAUAACUUGGGUUUCCCUAGAACUAAUAUAGAAACUUAGCUUUCCUUGUAUGUCGAUUUUAUUAGCUCUGGUGCAAAUGAGGAAAACUUAGAGGCAACAGUAAUCCUAUGCUAAAGUACAGGAAUACCCCAAAAGGAAUAAAAACUGGAUGUUUCCACUUUGGAUUGAUUUAAUUUAGAGCUGCCAUCAAAUGCAGAUGGUCUGGUUUGAUAUAAAUCAUUUUGUCCAGUGUGCCUUUGGAUAGGUCAGAAUUGAAUUGUUGAGUAAGAACUUCAUUUUUGGCUGUGAAUACUUUGCUUUUGAUACCUUUAUUAAGCUAAACAACAAAGUCAUUGCAUUCCAAAUUAAGCAUAGCAGUUCAUGAGUCGAAUAAUGUUGAGCAUAGAAACUGCUCCACAUGGUUUACCUUGACAUUCUUUGCUGCAACAAGUAAACCCACAUUCUGUCUGAAGAUGGAUUUAUGUGAACAAAUAGAAUUCACCGCUCUCAACUCUGAAUAAUACCCUGUAUACCUAUACAUAAGUCUAGACAUUUUUAUAAAAACAUCAGCCCAGAAAAUAUGGGUUGAGUUAUUCAUGGGUCAGUGUGAAUGCUGUACCUUAUCUCUUAAUAAAAAAGAACAUUCUUUGAGUAAAAUGGCAAAAGGCAAGAGUUUAGUCCAUCUGUGAAGAACCAAAAAGAAAUAUUUGGCUCCCUCUACUCUCUUUGCCAAGUUGCCAUUUCUGGCCUUUUUGAACAGCUGGGUGGAGAGAUGGCAGUGGCUGCCAGGGGGGCUGCUCCCCAAGGCAUUAGUGAUUUCCCUUCUCCACAAAAUGGCCUUCCACUUAUCCAUGGAUCAUAUCAAAAUCCAUAAUUUUGGCCUCCAUUAGUUCAACAUACACAUUUAUUUAUUUCGUGUCAAAAGCAUUGCAUAACAAAUACAUUUAAAAAUGAUGAAAAAAAUAGAGGAAAUCACAUGAGGAUAUACAGUAAUUAGAAUAAUUUGGAGCUAUGGGUGGACCCCUUUAAUAAUAAUUAUGGGAAAGAUUUAUAUGAUCUGAAGAGAAACCGGAGUAUAAAUUUUAUGAAACAUCAAUCAGAGCCAGACAAAGUAAUCAAAAGUAAUCAUGCUUUUAAAUUCCCAAGAUUUUAACUGUUGACUCACAGUGGCAAGAUUUCUGAAUGAAGCCUGCAAAUUGAAUGUAUGGCCAAUGUGAAGUUUUUCUAUUGUUUUUCUGUUGUAUAGUAUAUUCUGCAUUUUACACUGUCUUGAUAUAUAUGCCAAUAAAGGUUUAUUAGAUUGGAUUAGAUUGGAAUAAUAUUUAUGGAAUCACUUUUGAACAGUGAAAUUCGAUGUGUUGUGAAAUUCGAGCUUUUACCUAUUCCAAUAAUAGUUCUGUUAUUCAUGUACAAAAAGUAAAAACAGAAUGUGGUUGUCAUAUACCAGAAUACAGUUAUGAUGCAGUACAGUAUCCUUCUGAAAUGGCUUUAAUAGUUAUCAGCUAAAUCAGAACUUACAAUUUGUUUAUAGCCUUUGGCUAUGCACUUUAUGCAUUCAACCUCUUUUAUAGGACACAGCUCAUUGUGUUCAAUUGCUCAAUAUGUUUUAAACCAGUAACUUUACCCUUGAAGUGUUGUAAGCAGCAUAUAGCUGGUUUGUACUGCUUCAUUAGCUCCAUUUUCACAUAUGCAUUAGCUUUAGACCCCAUUCUUAAAACAUUCUCUGUCGCAUCAUUUUGCCCUUUGUGCAUCUGUUUCAGGUCAUGAAGCAGAAUAGUCCUGGAUAUGCCACCCUCUUAUAAAUAUUUCUUUUUGUUUACUCUUUCUCAUACAAGUUAUUCUGCUUCAGUGUAGUAUUACGAAAUCCUAGCUAGUAGGUGUGGUAUUCCCAGUAUUUGUUCCUAUCCGCAAUUUUUUACUCUUUAGAUGAGGGAAAAUGAUGUUAACUGACUGAUGAGGUUUAAAUUAUAUGUUGGGAUGAUCAAAGUUUUAUAGUUUGCAAAAGGCAGCUCGUUAUAAAUUUUGAAAGCCACAAGCCAUGCACAUUUAGACAUGUGUUAAAAUAAGUGUUCUAGUAAAAACAACUUCUUAAUGGUCAGACAUCAAUUAUGGAUUUUUAUUUUUGAUUAUGCAUAAUUUAAAGGUAGCGAACUUAUUUUCACUAAAUUAGAUCCAGAAGGGUAUUUAGAAGAAAACAUUUGGUUUUUUCCCCCCCAUAAUGCUAUCCCAAGGUGUUUAUCCUGAAUUGCAUUGUUUUGCAAACAAGAAGAGGGAAACCCCCCAAAAAUAAACGUUUCUUCCAUUCUGACUUAAAACUUCAUUUUCCUUCUUGAUGCAUGGGUUUCCGGUAGUUUGACGUCAUGGCUUUCACAAAAUCCUUUCCAUUAAGAGAAGAUAAAAUUAAACUCUGGCAUCAGAUCAAAAGUGAUGCAGUGCAGAGUGGUGAGUCCAAGUUUUCCUUUUCAAAUAUGUCAUGCAAUAUAGCACUGUGCAACAGUGUUUAAGUUAUAGAAGAUGUAUGUUUGUCUAAGGAAGACCUGCAGAUCAUGGAUGAAGUGGAAAGACCUUUGCUAAGUACCUGCUAUUCUCUUCCUUUGAUGUCUUGUUAACAUCUUCCUUUGUGAAGCUUGAGGGGAGAUAUGGAGAAUUAUCUAUAGCAGGCAUUGGCACAUAUGGCAGGGCAAAAGGCUUGCAUUCACUCUCUUGGAGGACUCCCCCUCCGUUUUGAGAGCCCCUCUCAAAACAAUGACACUAAGUGACAUUGUAUCACUUCCUGCCACCAUUUUGACGGGGAUUCGAAUCAAAAUAGAGGUAUGGGAAUAUUUUGCAGUGUUGGAGGAGAAUACUGUGUAGUUUUUAAUGAAAAUUAUUUCAAAAGCAUGGCCAUUUUUAAAAUUGGCAGUUGGGGGGCUCUGAAACUGUGAUGUUCAUAGUCCAAAAGAAGCCCAUGAGCUACACUUUCUCAGCAACCCCUGGUAUAAUGGAUGAUUGAAGACAUUUACAGUAUGAGUUUCAUUCUGUUGUUUCUAGCCGAUGUAACCAUGGCAAAAUUUGGCUGGCUUGUUUGGUUCAAAGUGCCAUCAUUUGCUUAACAGCAGGCAUCUGUUUAUGAAAUGUCUUUGUAGAUUAUGCAUGGAACAGCAGGCUUACAAAUUAGUUGUCCUAGAGUACUUUUGACUUGGCUUUCUUACAGUAUGUACAAUGUUAUGGCUGGACUUGGACUAAUUUUGCUAGUGUGGAAAAACUGGCAUAGAGAUGAGACGGGAAAAGCCUAAGGUCCACCCCAGCACUGUGGAAAGUGCAAUCUGGCUCUCUGGGUGCUAGACUAGAAGCAAAAGUAGCAUGAUGUACAUAAAUAAUAGAGCUUACAGACAUGUGCUUCAGACCCUCUGUACUGUGGGUUGCCCUACAAGUUCACGUACUCAUUUUUUGGAGAGCCAUUUUCAUUAUGGAGCAUUUGGCCAAAGGCAGAGGUUAAACAAAGCCUGUCAUACAGUGAAGUAGUUUCUGUAGUAGAUUCAUCACAUUCUUCUUCUUGAUUACAGUACUGAAAAUUACAGGCCAGCAUGCAGCACUUGCUAACUGCUGUGGUUUGAGUAAGACUGAUUACAACCUAUAGCAUGAUCUGUAGAGGUUAAGUGGUGAAAGACUACUGGCCACAUUUUAGAAGAGAGCAGGCUUAGAGGAAAUGAGAAGAGUUCAGAUCUAUGUUAGGAAGACUGGCAGAGCUCUGAUUUAGAAAUACCGGAAACACCCAAACCCACAGAGCUACUUCUGGUGAAGACACAAAUGUAAUCUAUAGGGCAGUUGUUUCGGCUUCUCUUUCAUUUCGGCUUCUCUUUCAUUAAAUAAAAGUACUGCGAAGCUCUAGAGUGGAUGAGAAUAAUAUCAGAUUGUGCUGUUUAUAUUCUGAUCAGCUUGCUUCUGAUCAUAUAUUUCUUGGGAGCAUUGCAUUUUUAUCUGAGUGUUAUUUUACCAACUAACUAAAUGUUGUGCGGCUCACAAUUAUCUUUAAUCUGUCGUGAAAUAGAUAUUACCUCUUUCAUUCUGAAAUGUUUUCACUUGUAAACUACAGAACAAAAUAGAAGCUCCAAAUCAAAUUUGUUCAGCAGUUUGCCAAGUAUUACAUGAAGUCCUACAUAGUUUCCCUUUAUGGCAAUAUAGUAAAGAGUUGUAAAAUCAUAAGAGUUUGGAUAUGAGUCAGGAUAUUAAUGCUCAUUAGUAACACUGACUGAGUUUUAAGUGGCUGAUCUGAAAUGUUUUUUUAAACAACUGAUUUUAAAGUGGAGAUAAUUGUUUUUAGUGUUUAUGUAUAUUUAUAGUUUAUUUUAUGUUCUGGCAUUGAAUGUUUGCCAUAUAUAUGUUGUGCUCCACCCUGAGUCCCCUUGGGGGUGACAAGGGCAGGAUAUAAAUCUUUUAAAUAAAUAAAUGAAGUGUUAUUUUGAUUUGAAUUUUUCAAAGAUGGCUGUACGCCUAAAGCAGUGGUUCUCAACCUGGGGUCCCCAGAUGUUUUUGGCCUUCAACUCUCAGAAAUCUUAACAGCUGGUAAACUGGCUGAGAUUUCUGGGAGUUGUAGGUCAAAAAUAUCUGGGGACCCCAGGUUGAGAACCACUGACCUAAAGAAUAAUGGGAAACACAAAAAGCUGGAUCCUUCUUAAGAAAUUCACAAGUAAAGUAUUGGAUACUGAUAUUCCAGUACCCCAAAUGGCAAUGCAGUAUAUUUGUAACAGCCUUCAAGUUUUUAUGUUCCUAUUUUGGAAGAGCACAGUAUUUAUCAUGCUAUGUACUUUCUCUAACAAAUAGUAUUUUGAUUUUUAGAAGUUGAGAAUCUUGACAGAUGUUAAUAACGAAAACAGUUUCUUAUGAUUUCAGGAUUUCUUGGGACAGUUCAUAAUUUCUAUAUAAAGUAUUAGGGCAUAAUCCCAGUUAGUAUUUUAUUUUCAUAGCAUAAUAUUAGCUUUUAUUCUAGGGAUCAUGGUAGUGCAGCAUUUUAUCACCUACCUUGUUGAAAAGAUGAUGAGAAUAGAAGGUUUUUCUCACCGGUCAAAGAAGGCAGAUAAUGCAUUCCAUUUACUGAUAACUUUCCUGUAUCUCCUUGGGCGAGGAAGCUGUAAUUACUGUAUUGAUUUUCUGUUGGAUUCUGUGUAUAUAUUCCUAUAUGGAAUCCAUCCUCCAUUGGCUUGAUGAAAAGAAUAUGAUUCUUUUGGUUUGGUUUGAUUAGAAAAUGGUGGUGUGCAGCCAUCUUUGAAUAAUUUUACAUAUUAUUUGCAAAGCUCAAUUUUGUCUUCCAAUUUUAUUAUCUGAUCUAUAGGACAGUGUUUGUUUUUGGGGCCAUACAUUGUUGCCAGGAUGGUGAUUCUCUAUCAUUUAAAUUUACGAACACUGAUAGUAUGCAGAGUAGUGGCAUUUUCAUAGUCAUCAGCAAGUAUUUUUGUAUUCUAAUAUUUCUGCUUUGAAAAUAAGUGCAUUUAGAAACUAGCAAGUGCAACAAUUAGCAUAGUUGUGUCCAUCUCAGUGCUGAAUAUAAGCCAGGUGGUUUGCUUUGGACUUGGUAAUUGACAUACAUAAAAUAUAAAUCCGAGUUUCCCAGUGGCCUCUGUCUAAACUAAUCAGUUCAGUACAUUAUCUUCAUCCUUUGGUUCAGGAUGAGAGGGGGGAUGUUUAGAAAUUACCCAUCAUUUUCCUAGCCGGAGGCCGAGAGACCUAGAGUUCAUUGGUACUGUAAUCAAUAUGCCUUCCAGAUCAGCUCCCCAUUGACAGAAUGAAUGUGUGGAGUCAGCACAUUGACUCAUGCUUGAGCCUUUUUCGAACAAAAGGGAAUGAAAACUGGUUGCAUGCUAUGUCCCAGUCCUGUGACCUGUGUUCUUUGGUCAACAUUCUGAACACGAUACAUAGGAAUGUUAGCUUCUAAGCCUCACAGUUUCCUAGAUUUCUCUUUCUAACAGCCAGUAUAGCCAGCCUUGUUUACAGAGACUAAAGGCUAACUUGAACAUGCCACUGUCUUCUGGCACUCCUAGUCUGCAUUUGUCUCUUUCUUGCAUCAGUCCCUGGGGUCUUUGAUGACUUAAGUGUAGCCAGUUCUGAGGGAUCUGCAGUAUCUAGUGUUGGUUACUGCUGCUAGUAUAGACUCUAGCAGACUAACAAUGAUCUCAGAAUGUCAUCCUGAAGAGUGAAAGCUCUUCCAAGAAAAUUCUGGGCAAUUUCAUUACACAAUUUUGUCUUUCCAUUUGAACCAGGAAACAGCAGUGCCCAGGUUGAAGUGUUGAAAGUGAAGUGUUCCAGAGUAAGAAGUUGGUCUACCUUCCUAAUAUACCAUAAUCUGCCCCAAUGGAAACAAUUAAAAACAGUCAGAGAAGAUGCAACUACUAUACAAUUGUUAAAUAAAGUGCUGAGAGCACUUUUACUUUGGAUUUACUUUGUAAUGAUUACAAAAGUGCUUGCUGAAGAUACAGAGACACUUUAUAAUACCAUUAAACAAUGUUUCAAAGAUGAGAUCUGCAUUUCCCUGUUACAGACUAGAUUAAAUUAAAUAAAAUACAAACUUACAAAUAGGUGAUAAAUUGGUUUAUUAAUUGCUUAGAUAGAAUGAUUAUGUUCCAAAACUGGAUGCAGCAUUUCAGUAAAUAUAAUUUUCUAUCUUGAACUUCCAGCAGAUAAAAUUGCUAAUUAAAGUUUUCUGAUACUAAUAUUCAUACUCAAGUAAUAUUGUAUGAUAGUCUAAGAACUGCAAACCUGAUAUGCUUAAUGAAGUUACAGUUCUUUUGCAUAUGUUAAUCUUCAUUGAAAUGAAUAUGUCACGUUCAUGUCUUCCCAUUUUUCCUGUGCUUGCUUGCAUUUCUUGGCUAGGAAUAUGUUACAGUCAAGGCUGUAUUUGUUCUCUCUUCCCUGGACUGAUAUGUUGCAAUAGAUUUAAAACAAUCAUCUAUGCUCAAAUAUAGUCUAACCCCCUUAAUAAUUGCAGGGAGUCACAUGAAAUUAUGAAUGAUAGAGAAAACAUCAGAUUUCAAUUUGCAAAAUAGAGCUUGAGGAUAUGAGCAAAUAAUAUACCACUCUGAUUUUGUUACUUUGGCGUUGAUAAACUUAGACUUCUUCCUAUACCUUUCAUUUUAUUUCCUUCUGCACUAUAUAGUCCACAUUUUUAAAAUAAACAAACAAACAAACAUAAAUUUUGGCAGUAAAAAUAAAUAUUCAUAGUAUAGCAUACAAGAUAACAUUGAUUACAAUAUGACCCCAAUAACUUUAGGGGAUAUGUUCCCGAACUUGGCAGGAAUACUUGCAAUUUCAGAUAAUAGUGAUGCUAUUUUCAAUGGGAUGAACAACGGAGGUACUGAAAACUGGGUGUAAGCUUGUACAGGAGGCUAGAAGUGAAUAACUGAGUAAGUGAAGCUGUAGAUAAGGGAAAACAUGUGUAUCUGUUCCACGGAUUUUGAUGUUGUACUGGUUAGUUUCUGCAUGAAAGCUUUCUGGCAUCUGAGUGCCCACUAAAAGUAGCUGUAUAGACUGAUGAAUAUCUGGCCAAUGUUUUUUUUACCACAGAGUUGCUGUGAAAAAAAAGAAAAUGUAUGCCUUGACAUUGGUGAAAAUGAAGUAUUUAUUUUUCUGGACAGCCAUGGGUCAGCAAGCCACUGUUGCUCCCUGACCCCUGCUCUCAAGAUAAAGUAAACAUGUCAUAUUUCAGAAGGGUCUACCUCCCAAAUGAAUGUUAAAGGAAUUGAAGAUGUUCUUUAUUGCAUUUCCCCUUAAUAUUGGAUGACUGUGUUCUGUAUAAGUGGAUUGUGGAAGCAUAGAAUAAUGAAUCUGCAAGUUGAUUCUGGCCAUGUAUAAGAGCCUGUUUUAAGAGUUUGUUACUGUGAGCCCAAGUGUUGAUUGCAUUGAACACAUCGAUGUGUAUGUCUACUUUCUGUUGUAAGGCCUAAUGUGCAUGUACUGCCUACUGGCUUCAGUUUGGUACAAAUUUGGCUCUUAAUUUUAAAUUGCUAAGAUUUCAUAAACAUUACCAAGGGGGAAAUUACAGUGAAAGAGAGAGAAUGAGCAUUGCUAAAAAACAGGUUGCACUCAGCUGAAAGUCUAUGCAUUGUUCCCAUGCCCACCUUUUAUAUGGGAUUUAAGGUCUACUGGUAAAAGAGUGAUCCCGGGCAUUAUAUCUAAGUGAUUGUUAAGUGUUAUUGAGUUGCAAGGAAAGAUAGGCUCUUUCGGACAAGUGUGUAACUUUAAAACUAUGUCAACAUCUGUGGUUUGUGAGUUAGAUGUCCAUAAUCCCUUUGGGAAAGCAGUAAUGUCUCAAACUAUAUAGGUUAGUGGAAUCAGGAGAGGUGGGUACAACAGUGUUCCCUCACUUAUCGCGGGGGUUACGUUCCAGGACCACCCGCGAAAAGUGAAAAUCCGUGAAGUAGGGACACUAUAUUUGUGUUGUUUAAAAUUAGCAUCUCUGUCCCCUCCUCGCCUCUCAAGCAUGCACAUGCCUUAUUAGGCGAAGACACAGCUGCUUCAGCCAACUUUUCUCUCCCUUCGGCUUCUUCCUUCCCCCCUUCCAUAGACUUCUCCUUAAGAAAGAAGUAGAAAGAGGGAUUUGUACUAUUAUUUUAUGAUUUAUACUAUUAUUUUAGUGUUUAUUUAAAAACCGUGAAACAGCGAGGGUACGAAAAGCAAACCGCAAAGUAGUGAGGGAACACUGUAAACUUGUCUGAGUAAUUACCUUGACCUUGGCUGAGUCCUCUUAUGUUUUGCUUAAGGUAUUCAACCAGUAAAACUGGUCUGUUUAUCUGGAGCACAUAUGCCUCAUUAUCUAAAAGGUAAAUGGGAAGUAGCACUCAUUAAAACCAGAGGCAAGCCUUAAGUAUGCAAAAACAAUGCCUACUUCUCAGAUUUCUGUUGGCAUAAACUUCCAUAGGCUACAGCCCACCAGAUUGUGUGAUCUGUUACUGUUAGUCAGCACGUAGUGUACACUCAUACACAGUUUUAUAUGUAUGUACUUAUGGUAUAAAGAAAUCAAACAUUUGGACUAAAAGACCAUCCAGUGUUAUGGAUUAUGGAUAUUUGUGCUAAGAAUCAACAGACUAUUAUGAUAAAAUUGAAGUCCAGUCACUCCCCCAUACCCAUAGAUUCUGCAUUCAGGGAUUUAAUUAUCCAUUGCUUGAAAAUGUUUUUUUU